AGCUCACCCCGUCAUGGGGAUUCAAACCGCUGAUCUUCUGAUUGGCAAGUCCUAGGCUCAGUGGUUUAACCCACAGCGCCACCCACGUCCCUAUCUCAAUGUGUACAUGCCAUCUAUUUAAAGUGCACGACUCCCCCCCCCAAAAAUAUUAUUGGGAGCUGUAGUUUAAGAAUGCUGGGAAUCAUAGCUCUGAGAUGUAAACUAAAGUUCUCAAGGUUCAAAAAGGUGUACCAGACUGCCUCUUAUGGGGUCUGGAAUAUGCUACAACAUUUUGCUUCAGUUCCCACUUGUGUAUGCAUAAUACAUACCCCCAAUACACACACACAACACAAAAAAUCAACAAUAUAUCCAGCUAGGCAUACAAAACCUAAACAUAUUAAAUAAUGACACCCAAUUUAAAAUCACAACCAUAUUUCUGUAGAUAGUGUGGUGAGAGAUACAGUUUAGCUUCAGAUUUACAGGUAUGUGCUAUUUUUCUUCAAUAACUAAAUUCCAAUAGAUUUUUUUUAUGACAUAAGGAUAUAGUCCAUAUUUAAAAAAACAAAACAAUUUCCACUAUUUUGCUAUAGGGAUCCUGACAGCACCCAUGUCAAAAGUUCCUUUUGGCAAAAUGUAUUCAUGGUGUAUACCCUCAUAUUUAGUAGCAAUAAAUGGGGAUAAGUUUGAAUAUGUGUUUUAACAAUCUUCCAUAUUUCCUGAAUAACUUCAUUCCAGAAUAAAGCAGCCCAUAAGAAUCCCUGUCACCAUUCAUCCUACAGUUUGGUGAUGUAUUGGAAGUAAUAUUUGGAAGUGCACAAUAUUUAUAAAGAGGUAGUGGGCUUUGGGUUUGCUUUGUCAUGAAAGGAGUCUUGAAAGAGCUUGAAACAACAACAAAAAGUUGUUGGUAUCUCUUUAGCAUUUAUGUAGCAAUGUGGGAAGUAGGCUAAACCUAGACCUGCUGUAUUAUAUGGUUCCAGAUAAUUUGCCAUUAUUGUAGCUUCAGUUCCCCGUCUGUUAAGGGGGGAAAGCAACAAACAAUCUUGGAACUAGUAUUGGAAGUGACCCUAAAGGUCAUCUUGUCUUCAAUAUACCACUUCAGACUGUAAUGAGGCUGAGCACAAAUACAAACUUUUAGAAGUCCUAGGAAAACAAUAUCUAUGAGUAAAAUUCUGGGUUUUAGCUCUUUAAAUAAACCACACACUUUUUCUACUAAAACAUCCAAAAUACUAUACAGAAGUUUAAAAACAAGGAGAGAACUGUAAAAGGCAGAAAGUAAGAGGUUGUAAAUUAAGUUUAAAUGCUAUUUUUCAUAGUAAACGGAAACAUUGAAAUUUCUGGCUUUUAGGAGCUUAAUGCCCUGGCUCCCCUUUUCUUGCAACUACAGAUUCCCUUAUUAAUCAGCUGCAAUUCCAAUUUAAAACCCUCCCUUUAGAUCCACAGUCUUCACCUAUUUAGGAAAGCCUAAAAAGACCUACCUAAUCCUGAGAGAAAAAAGAGACGACUCAUCUUCUGUCUGAAAAAUGCAGUUUUAAAUUGCUGUCACAGGUGUCAGGUCUCUUGUUUGUCUUGCUUUCUAAUUUUGCAACGUUGCAGCACUUAUCUCACAAACUUCCUACUAGUACACAGUAAUUAAAAGCAUAUUAGUCUGCUUCAGGUGAAAAGCUUCUGGCAGUCCUAGAGUUCCUAAGUCUGAAGCAGAAGCAGUCUUCCUGGCUGACAUUAAAAUCCAAAUGUUUUAUAUAUGUGGCACAAUCAAAGCUCAAGUAAAGUAUUAAACAUUGGUCAUAGGACCUGUUUGGAGAAAGAUACUUAUUUUCCUCCUCCCCCUCACCUGAGAAACUAACUUUGUGCUUGCUCCACUCUGCUCUCAUAGUGUUUAAAAUAAAAAAAUUGAAGAUGGACCAUAGCACUUGGAUACAUUAGUCACUUGAAGGAGGACAACCCUGGUGGUCUCCCAUCUGGACACUUCAGCAGACCCGCCAAGUGUCCCUUUUUUCCAGGAACAGAUUUACAGAAGCCAUUGUGACACCUCCCUCUGCUGGCUCACUGGUCUCCAGAGUGUUAAAAGGCCCGGUGAGCUCCUAUGGUUGGAUCAUUUCAUGUUUGUUAUAGGAAGAAGACAAGACACGCUUUCAAGGCUGAGAAAAGUCUUUUCCUGGUUGGGAAGGAGAAAUAAGAUUUUGCCUCUCCCUGAGACCUGCUCCUCACCCACAAACUCCCCCUCCGCCUUCCCCUCUGGACAAAAAAGGCUCUGCAGACCUCCUGCCAGCCAGAACUAAAAACCCCAGGAAAACAUGAAGGCAAUGUCUAUUUCCAAGGAUAUGUUCAGGGUAUAGAAGAAAGUCCCUAAAACGGUUAUAAUUGCUAGCCUUCUCUUCUUUUCCAUUGAGAUGACAUAAUAUCUGAAGGCCUGGAGGGAGAGCAGGGGCAGGACAGCUUUUAUACUGACACCAUGAACCACAGAACCUGAACACGGAGUUUGCCCUCACUCUCUACCAAUGGGCAGAGCUCCACCAUGGAACGAACCUCGCCAUUUCCCCAAUGAGUGUGUCUCUUUCUUUGGGGCUCAAGGAAGCCCAUUGGCUCCGCUGCAGCAUGGUCUGGUAUACAGCACUCAUGAAGCAAGAUCCAAUCUUCUGGCCUGCAGGUGCCAGAUGGGACAGCGCACAGAAGAAUGGAAAAUGAAGUAAACAAAGAAUCUUCUGUACUUCAUAGUAUUUUGUAGUACCAUCCAUACAGGAGAUUUUGCCCAAGAAUUCUGCUAAUCGACAUUGCAUUGAGAGGAAUGAACACACGUACACAGGAAGUGCCUUUACACGUGUGACGAAAAACCUGGUUUACAUCAUACACGUUGCUGUUUAGUUGUGUCCGACUCUUCAUGACCCCAUGGACCAGAGCACGCCAGGCACUCCUGUCUUCCACUGCCUCCCGCAGUUUGGUCAGAC